CAAAAACGUUUUAGAGAAAGGGGGGGUCAUAAAAGUUUUUGAACUUAAAUCAGAAAUAGCAAAAAAGAAGACUCUGAAAAUGCUAUUUCCAACGAUCUAGAGACUCAAAAUUUUCAAAAUUUCCCUGCUCGGCGCCAACCAUGGUAGCGCCUUGCGGUCGUGGGAGUCGGGGGCCCACUAAGUUUAACAGGCUUUCUACCCCCUGAGUGACCCAGUUGUGGUAUUUAGUAUACAUAAACAUACCAUGCAAGUACACUUAACUGAUCAGAUUCGGUCUAUCAACGCACAAUGUAAAGCUGUAUAUCCAAAAAUCUGUUUCAGAAAAUGCUCACAUUUCAGUUCUAGGUGGAGAAUACCCCCACACCCCCCUACUAGUACAUACGAUACCACACCAAACUUUUUGUCACCAACAACCAUCUGUCAUCUCUCCACACUCAAUAUAGUAUUUUUGUAGAUGCCCAUCCCCCAGACAAGUUCUUAAAAAAAACCUGUGUUCAAAUCAUAAUUUUCGCUGUAUGAAGACGGGUCAUGGGUUAGGGUUAUGGUAGGACAAAUGUUGCAUUGCAAAGUAGUAACACAUAAUAUAUAUUUUUUAAUCAUAUAUGAUUGAAUCAUAUUCACCAGGGUAAAACAUCAUGAGCUUAAACAGAUUGUCCUAAUAUCUAACUUUACCUGCAACUCACACCUGUUUCAUUGCUGUUAAUUUUUC